rnacentral:rRNA from 1 species
CUGGUUGAUCCUGCCAGUAGUCAUAUGCUUGUCUCAAAGACUAAGCCAUGCAUGUCUAAGUAUAAAUGUUAUACAGUGAAACUGCGAAUGGCUCAUUAAAACAGUUAUAGUUUAUUUGAUAAUCGAAUUCUACAUGGAUAACCGUGGUAAUUCUAGAGCUAAUACAUGCUGGUUAGCCUGACUUCUCGGAAGGGCUGUAUUUAUUAGAUAACAAACCAAUAUUCCUCGUGUCUAUUGUGAUGACUCAUAGUAACUGAUCGAAUCGCAUGGGCCUUGCCCGCGAUACAUCAUUCAAGUUUCUGCCCCAUCAGCUUUCGAUGGUAGUGUAUUGGACUACCAUGGCUUUAACGGGUAACGGAGGAUUAGGGUUCGAUUCCGGAGAGGGAGCCUGAGAAACGGCUACCACAUCUAAGGAAGGCAGCAGGCGCGUAAAUUACCCAAUCCUGACUCAGGGAGGUAGUGACAAGAAAUAACGGACCGAGGCUUCACGCUUCGGGAUUGCAAUGAGUAGAAUUUAAACCCCUUUACGAGGAUCAAUUGGAGGGCAAGUCUGGU